rnacentral:rRNA from 1 species
ACUUAUUAACUGUCAAAAUCUUGUUUAUAAUUUUUAUUUAAAAUAUUUUUUAUGUUUUAGUAUUAAUUGAGAAACAAUUUUUUUUAUUUUAACUGUAAAGGUGAUGUUGUAUUGUUUAAAUAAGAAAAAUCAAUUUUGUACCUUUUGUAUCAGGGUGAAUUAAUAAAUUUUAUAAAUAUAUAUAUCCCGAAAGAAAAUGAUUUAUAUUAUAUUGUUAAUUAUUGUGAUAUAAAUAUUAAUAAAUAUAGUUUGGAAAUGAAACUUUAACGAAUUUUUUGAUAUCUGGUUUCUUGGAAAAUAAAUUUAAUUUAGGAAAAUUGAUUUUAUUAUAAUAAUUAUAUACAAUUUUCAGAGUGUAAGGGGGAUAAGCUUUUUUACAUUAACUAUAAAUUUAUGUAUAAAAUGUAUAAUAGGCUUAAGAUCAGCCAUUUUUGAUUUAGUUAAAUAUUCAACUUUUAUGAUUAAUUAUUUAAUGUAUUUUAGUUAAUUACUAAGAAUUAGAUCUUAAUCAAAAAUUUUAAUUAAAAUGAUUUAAUUAGUAUAAUUAUUAAAUAAUAAUUAUGAAUUCAGCAAAUAUAAUUUUCGCCUGUUUAUCAAAAACAUGUCUUUUAGAAAAAAAAUUAAAGGUCUAAUCUGCCCAAUGAUUUUUGAAUGGCCGCGGUAAUCUGACCGUGCAAAGGUAGCAUAAUAAUUAGUCUUUUAAUUGAAGGCUUGUAUGAAUGAUUGGAUGAAAAAUUACCUUUAUUAUUUUUAUUAUUAGAAUUUUAUUUUUAAGUUAAAAAGCUUAAAUUUUUAUGUGGGACGAGAAGACCCUAUAGAGUUUUAAAUUCCUAAUUAUUAGUUAGUUGUGGUUUGUUUAUUUAAUUAAUUAUUUUGGUUUUUUGUGUUGGGGUGAUAUUGAAAUAUAAUAAACUUUUAAUUAACAUAACAUAAAUUAAUGUUUAAUUGAUCCUGUUUUGAGAAUAAAAGAAUAAAUUACCUUAGGGAUAACAGCGUAAUUGAAUUGAAGAGCCCAAAUCAAUAAUUCAGUUUGCGACCUCGAUGUUGGAUUAAGAAAAGAUUCUGGAGCAAUUACUUGAAAUCUAGGUCUGUUCGACCUUUAAAUUCUUACAUGAUCUGAGUUCAGACCGGCGUGAGCCAGGUUGGUUUCUAUCUACAUUUAGCUUUUUAAUAUUAGUACGAAAGGACCAUAUUAUAUAAUUUAAAUUAU